rnacentral:rRNA from 1 species
AUUGAACGCUGGCGGCACGCCUAACACAUGCAAGUCGAGCGGUAACAUGGCUAGUAGCAACACUAGCUGAUGACGGGCGGCGGACGGGUGAGUAACACGUAGGAACUUGCCCAAUAGAGGGGGAUAACCAGCGGAAACGCUGGCUAAUACCGCAUAUACUCGUGAGAGGAAAGCUGCCCGCAAGGGUGGCGCUAUUGGAGAGGCCUGCGUCCGAUUAGCUAGUUGGUGAGGUAAAGGCUCACCAAGGCUGGGAUCGGUAACUGGUCUGAGAGGACGACCAGUCACACUGGGACUGAGACACGGCCCAGACUCCUACGGGAGGCAGCAGUGGGGAAUAUUGCGCAAUGGGCGAAAGCCUGACGCAGCAACGCCGCGUGCGGGAUGACGGCCUUCGGGUUGUAAACCGCUUUCAGCAGGGAAGAAGCCGCAAGGUGACGGUACCUGCAGAAGAAGCACCGGCUAACUACGUGCCAGCCGCCGCAGUAA